AAUGCCUAGGAAUCUGCCUGGUAGUGGGGGAUAACGUCCGGAAACGGACGCUAAUACCGCAUACGUCCUACGGGAGAAAGCAGGGGACCUUCGGGCCUUGCGCUAUCAGAUGAGCCUAGGUCGGAUUAGCUAGUUGGUGAGGUAAUGGCUCACCAAGGCGACGAUCCGUAACUGGUCUGAGAGGAUGAUCAGUCACACUGGAACUGAGACACGGUCCAGACUCCUACGGGAGGCAGCAGUGGGGAAUAUUGGACAAUGGGCGAAAGCCUGAUCCAGCCAUGCCGCGUGUGUGAUGAAGGUCUUCGGAUUGUAAAGCACUUUAAGUUGGGAGGAAGGGUUGUAGAUUAAUACUCUGCAAUUUUGACGUUACCGACAGAAUAAGCACCGGCUAACUCUGUGCCAGCAGCCGCGGUAAUACAGAGGGUGCAAGCGUUAAUCGGAAUUACUGGGCGUAAAGCGCGCGUAGGUGGUUUGUUAAGUUGGAUGUGAAAUCCCCGGGCUCAACCUGGGAACUGCAUUCAAAACUGACUGACUAGAGUAUGGUAGAGGGUGGUGGAAUUUCCUGUGUAGCGGUGAAAUGCGUAGAUAUAGGAAGG
rnacentral:rRNA from 1 species